UGUCUCUGUAAAACAAAAGAAGCAUUUGAUAAAACACCAAAACUUUGAGGAUCAGGGAAAUGUAAUCCUGAAUUACAGCACCCUUUUUCUAGAGUAAGAUUGGUAUGUAGAAGAUCAAAAGGUACAGUGAAAAUGAAAAGGUUUGGUUAUUUGAGUAAGUCAUCUGUUCAAAUUAUAUACAUUCUUACUCUACUUUUGAGAUUAUUAUACUGAAAUUGUAGGCAGCACAGGCCAACUGCUCCUUAAGCAACGGACUGCCAGGAAUAACGGGGGGGUCCCCAAAGGGGCAUGGUGAUGGUCCCACUGCCCCCAGUGAGGGUGCAAAGCAGACUAGUGUCAGUGGAAAAAAAAAGGUUCAGCUGAGGCCCAGCUGGAGUUGAGGUAGGGCCCAGCACUGGAGCCUGGGCCCAAAGUAGCUCCUGCAGGAUGGGGCGGGCCCUGGUCCAGCUUCCUCUCAGUGCUGCCGGGGAGUUGCACUCCAAGGCCACUGCAUGAGGGGACUGCACUUCGCUGUGCUGGCCCUGGGCCCCCCAGACAAACCCCCCAGAGGGGGAUGCACCUGAGGCCGUGACAGCAGCUUCUCCUUUCAUCAGGGCUUGUCCUCACAUCUUACACAGCCCUGGGUGUGCAGACACUUGGCUAUGAAAUACUGGUUGUAGCUGGCGGUGUGCUGGCUCCCAGGCCAGGGCAGGAGCCCCUGUGAGGCUACUUGAGGGGCCUGUAGAGCUGUAUGGGUUGGAGUCACAAAGGAUCAGUCCCUGGACACUAUGGGGCUCACCCAGGCAGGUAUUGCCAGGGAGCAGUUAUUAGAUAAAGGGGUGUGCAGGGUCUCAGAUCACCACUGAAGAGCUUCCAAGGCCAAGUGGAAGAUCUGGGCUGCCCCUGAGAGGCCUCUCGGCUGGAUGAAGGGGUUCAGGUCGCCACAGAGGAAAUCAGAUACCUUUCCAGAAUCAGAUUUGACAAGGCUGAUCUUUCCAGCUUAAACCAAGAAGCAGGGCAUUCCUAUGGUACUGUGCAGCUCAUCACUGAUGGAAAUAAAUGGCAAGUUACUGAAAAUAACCUUCAUCCUCCCUUUAUAGCAAGCCCUUGCUUUGAAUGUCAUCUAGCAUUCUUAGCAAUAGCAUCCUGUAUGUGUUUUGAUGUAAGAUAGCAGAGCUCAAUUGUGUUGAAUGACCUUUUGAAAAUAAUGAUUUGCUGCCUAUUCAUGGUGCCUGUUGCUCUUAAAAUUACCGGCAAUCUUUGCAAUGCUAUCUCUGAACCUUCAAUAUUGCAUUGAUAAGUGUUUAAAGGUGUACUGAAAAUCGUUUUUUCUGAGCUGUGGGACACCCAAGCUGAUAGAAGAUUGUAUAGGUAGACCUGAAAAUAAUAAAUAUUUGUUUUCUAAAAACA
rnacentral:lncRNA from 1 species